rnacentral:lncRNA from 1 species
UCAAAGGGCCUGGAAGACAUACCACCCACCCAGCCGCCUGCCUGACUGCCUGGCUGAGGUUGACAUGUCAGAGGCCCCAGCAGAUUAAACCUGGCUCUAUCAUUACGGGAACUUCUUUCUGUUUAAACGGAGCGAGCGUUUCAUCCUGCGCUCCAACUAGCAGAUUCUGAACAUCAGAACACCGAUCGGUAACCAUGAUUUGGAUGAAGAUUUCUACUUCAAUGGCAGCAGUCGGCAGCUGUGGAUGGACUGCUAAUCCCAGACCAGGCCCUAAUCCACAGGACUCGAAAGAGGAAAAGACGGUGCAAGACAGGCAAACGAGACAACGUUGACAAGUAAAUAAAUUGCCUCUACCCUCCGUUCUAUUGACAAACGCACAAUUACUAGAGAACAAACUGGAUGAGCUCCGUUCGAGACUAUCCUAUGAACGGGACCUGAAGAACUGUAAUAUCCUAUGUUUCUCAGAGUCGUGCUGAACAAGGACAUUGAUAAUAUACAAUUAGCUGUUUUUUCUAUGCAUCUUCAAGACUGAACGGCAGCUUCGGAUAAGGUUAAGGAGGGCGGUGUGUGUCUUUCUGUUAUCAACAGCUGGUGCGCGAGUUGCUCAAACUAUUUACAAAAAUAGUUCUGAGCAAUAUUUUCGAAGCGGUCUGUCUAUUUACCACCACGAACCGAUGCUGGCACUAAGACUGCCCUCAACAAGCUGUAUAGGGCCAUAAACAAAUAAGAUAAUGCACAUCCAGAGAAGACGCUCCUAGUGGAUGGUGAUUUUAAUGCAGGGAAAGUGAAAUAUGUCUUACCUCAUUUUUACCAGCAUGUCACCUGUGCAGCUAGAGGUGACAAAACUCUUGAUCACCUUUACUCCACACACAGAAACGCAUACAAAGCUCUCCCUUGCCCUCCAUUGACAAAUCUGCCCAUAACUCUAUCCUCCUGAUUCCUGCUUACAAGCAAAAAGUAAAACAGGAAGCACCAGUGUCACGCUAAAUACAGAAGUGGUCCAAUGAAGUGGAUGCUAAGCACUGGUGUAAAGUACUUAAGUAGAACUUGAAAGUAUUUUUAGUUAAGUAUUUUUUUGGUCAAAUUCACACACUUAUCAAGAAA